AUGCUGAGAGUAUUCACCUGGUACAAUUGCCUUCCAAGCACAUAAGUCCUCAAAUGGUCAGCAUA
rnacentral:tRNA from 1 species